CAAAAAGUGAAAAGUAGUGCAUAAAAAUCAUAAAUCAUAAUACAAAUAAAAUUUUCAGUGUACGUGACGCGUGUAAAAAUAAGAUCGCAUUAAAUAAAGAAUCAUAAAAUCAAAAUAGAAGAAAAAAAAAAUAAUAAGUAAAAAACGUCGUGUGUACAAAAAGUGUUGUAACAUUUUAUGGUGCUCGUAUGUGUGCGCGAGUGCGUAUCGGUGUAUGUGAAAAAUAGUAAAUUUUAAAUGGAAAUAAAUUUGAAGUGGAAAUUUGUUGCAGUUAGUUGAUUCGAUCGAAACACAAUUCAAAAAAAAAUCAAAUUAAAUUACUGCCAAAACAAAAAAUAAAAAUAAAUAAAAAAAAAAAUAACAAAUAGACAACUUAACUUGGAUACCAUUUGCGUAUAAUGUCAUCAAUAUGUGGAUUAAAUAUGGUUUUCAUGUCGAUCAUUUUCAUUAUCAUCGUAAAUGGCUACGCAAAAGACAUUUCCAGAGUUGAAAGAGGUCACGAACGACUCAACGAAUACAUAUCCCACUAUGAAACACUUAACUAUGAUCAUGAGCACAUUAGAGCUAGUCACAAUAGGGCGCGUCGAUCGGUGACCAAAGAUCAUUUUGUAUAUAUAAAAUUUGCAGCACAUGGAAAAGAUUUCCAUCUUAGAUUAAAACGUGAUUUAAAUACAUUUAGUGAUAAGUUAGACUUUUAUGAUAGCAACGGCCCCAUUGAUGUCUCAACGGAUCAUAUCUAUGAGGGCGAUGUGAUAGGGGAUCGUAACAGUUAUGUAUUUGGUUCCAUACACAAUGGGGUAUUCGAGGGUAAAAUUAUAACGGAACGUGAUGCCUAUUAUGUUGAACAUGCCAAACAUUAUUUUCCCACAAAUCGGACAACGUCAACGUCAACGUCAACGACGACGACGACGUCGAUGCCGACGACGACAAAGACCACCGCAACAAUAUUAGCUCCAACAACAACGGGGUCCAAUACGAAUAAAACUGCCAUUGAUAAUAAGAGAGAAAAGUUUAUACAUAAAAUUGGUGACACAGCAACAACAACAACAAACACAUUCCCAAUGUAUCCAAGCAACAACAAUACCAGACAGACAGAAGCAACAACAAUGCCGCCAACAGCAACGAGAACUGAGGAUGAACUUGAUUUUCACUCCAUUAUCUAUAAGGAGUCGCAUGUUGAGGAUGCCUACGAGAAUGUGCGCGAAGGUCACGUGGGCGGCUGUGGCAUUACGGAGGAGGUCUCACAAUGGAUGGAGAAUAUACAAAAUUCAGCGGUUGAGGAGCUGCCAGUGCCCAUGUCAAAGGAUGUCCAAAAGCUGCACCGGAAACAGCAACACAAAAAGGCAACUGCUGCUCAGCAACAACAACAACAGCAACAGCAACAUCCACCGAAGAAAUAUGCCAGCAGCGAUGAUGAUUUCAAAUUUCCACAUCAGAAAUAUUCAAAGGAAGCAAACUUGGGCGAUAGCAACGGUGGAUUCUAUGAUCCAGAGACCGGACGACGUUUGGGCACCACGGCCAAUGUCGCCGAAUGGCGUCAACUGGUCCAUGAGCGUGUGCGUCGGGCCAGUGGCAAUGGCAACGGCGGGGCUGGUGGGGGCAACAAUGCCGCGGCCAACGGUUCAUCUGGCGCCGGACGUGGCCGUGAGGAUAACAAAAAUACCUGCUCGCUGUAUAUACAAACAGAUCCAUUGAUUUGGCGUCAUAUACGCGAGGGUAUUGCUGAUCACGAUCGCGGUCGCAAGUACGAGGUGGAUGUGAAGACCCGUGAGGAAAUCACAUCGCUGAUUGCACAUCAUGUGACGGCCGUUAAUUACAUUUACCGCAACACAAAGUUCGAUGGACGGACGGAGCAUCGCAACAUACGCUUUGAGGUGCAACGCAUCAAAAUCGAUGACGAUUCCGCCUGUCGCAACUCCUACAACGGGCCUCACAAUGCAUUUUGUAACGAGCACAUGGAUGUCUCGAACUUUUUGAAUCUCCACUCGCUAGAGGAUCACUCAGACUUUUGUCUAGCCUAUGUAUUUACUUACAGAGAUUUUACGGGCGGCACUUUGGGCCUGGCCUGGGUGGCCAGCGCAUCGGGCGCCUCGGGCGGCAUUUGCGAGAAGUACAAAACCUACACGGAAACUGUGGGCGGUCAAUAUCAGAGCACCAAGCGAUCCUUGAACACGGGCAUCAUCACCUUUGUCAACUACAAUAGUCGCGUGCCACCAAAAGUAUCACAGCUAACGCUGGCUCAUGAGAUUGGACACAAUUUCGGUUCGCCGCACGACUAUCCACAAGAAUGCCGUCCAAGCGGCCCCAAUGGCAACUUUAUAAUGUUUGCCAGCGCCACGUCGGGCGAUCGUCCAAACAAUUCAAAAUUCUCACCCUGUUCCAUACGCAAUAUUUCCAAUGUCUUAGAUGUGCUGGUGGGCAAUACGAAACGUGAUUGCUUCAAGGCAUCGGAGGGCGCUUUCUGCGGCAACAAGAUUGUGGAGUCGGGCGAGGAAUGCGACUGUGGCUUCAACGAGGAGGAAUGCAAAGACAAUUGCUGCUAUCCGCGUCUCAUCAGCGAGUACGAUCAGUCGCUCAACUCCAGUGCGAAGGGCUGCAAGCGUCGUGCCAAGACGCAAUGCUCGCCGUCGCAGGGUCCCUGCUGUUUGGCCAACUCGUGUGCCUUUGUGCCCACCCACUUCCAUCAGAAGUGCAAGGAGGAAACGGAGUGCAGCUGGUCGAGCACAUGCAAUGGCACCACAGCCGAGUGCCCAGAGCCCCGGCAUCGUGACGACAAGACCAUGUGCAACAAUGGCACCGCCCUGUGCAUACGUGGCGAAUGCAGCGGAUCACCCUGUUUGCUAUGGAAUAUGACCAAAUGUUUCCUCACCUCAACGUCCCUGCCGCACGUGGACAAGCGCAAGCUCUGCGAAUUGGCCUGCCAGGAUGGCAACGAUACGAGCACCUGUCGCAGCACUAGCGAAUUUGCUGCCGAAUAUAACAUACAACCGGGUGGCAUUAGUCUGCAGCCCGGCUCACCCUGUGACAACUUCCAGGGCUACUGCGAUGUUUUCCUCAAGUGUCGCGCUGUCGAUGCCGACGGCCCGCUGGUGCGGCUCAAGAAUCUGCUGCUCAAUCGCGAGACGCUGCUCACCGUCACCGAGUGGGUCACCGGCAACUGGUAUCUGGUGGUGCUGAUUGGCGUUGGCUUCAUUGUGGUGCUGGGCGCAUUUAUAAAAUGCUGUGCCGUACACACGCCCAGCUCCAAUCCGAAGAAGCGUCGAGCUCGACGCAUCAGCGAAACGCUGCGCGCGCCAAUGAAUACGCUGCGUCGCAUGCAGCGGCAUCCGAAUCAGCGUGGUGCUGGACCGCGCAGCAUUCCACCGCCGGCGCAUGAGGCGCAACAUUAUCCUCGAGGUGGCGGUGGUGCUGGCGCUGGUGGUGGUGCAUCUGGACGACAUGGCGGCUCACGUGGACAUAAUCAUCACAAUUCGCAUUCACACGAAUGGGAUCGGCAUCAGGGCGGCCACUCGAUUGUGCCACUGCCCACGGGCGGCGGUCAUGCCAGUCGCAAUGCGCCAGCGAAUCAGGCGAGGCGCAGUGAUGGGCGUGGCACACGGCCCAGCAGCAGUGGCAAGCCGCAGGCCAGCAGCAGCAGCGCAGCCGGACGAUCUGGGUAUGGAGCUGAUCAAACGGGCGUGGGUGGUGCUAUGGGUGGUGGUGUGCAGGCGGCCAUUAGCAGCAGCGGUGUUGUGGCGCGUGCGCAACUGCCGCUGCCAUUGCCGCCCGCAAAUGCACAACAGCCGCAACAACAACAACAACAAGCACUCUCACCGCAACAACAACAACAACAACAAUCGCAAGCGUUCUAUGCGCCGAAAGAAUUACCACCACGCAAUAAGUCCCGCUCGUCACGUACCAACAACAACAGCACGGCCAUGCCCUCGACAGUGGCUGGCAGCAGUAAGCAAGCCAAAAGUGCCAAAGCCAAAGACACACAACAACAGCAACAACACAACAAACACAACAACAGCAACCGCAGUCGCAGCAGCAGCAAAGACAAGGCAACCGCAGCCGCUGGCAAGACGCGUCGCAAUAUUGUUUACUAAAUGUGGAACGCUUGGAAUUGGAACGCCUCAAACAUGCCAUAUACGAAACAAACAAAUAUAUAUAUACCUAUAUAUACCCAGUACAUAUACAAAACUUCCACGCGCUUGCUAGCGUGCCAUUUCCAUCGUUCCAAGCAAAAGGCUUUGCACCCCCCUCCCACCCACACAAAACGAAUUUGAUCAGCAAUUGGCGUCGCGCCCCCGCCGCCGCUACAAGUAAACUAUAGUCGACCGACAUCGCUGCAUGAGCAACAGACGUUAGAGGAGC